rnacentral:tRNA from 1 species
UCCCUGGUGGUCUGGUGGCUAAGACUUCGUGCUCCCAAAGCAGGAGGCCUGGGUUCAAAUCCUGGUCAGGGAA